UAUGAUUCGUGUUCAAAAAAU
rnacentral:piRNA from 1 species